rnacentral:lncRNA from 1 species
UCGCAGGGUGCCCCAGUAGUUCCAAUAUGCCCUGAACGUCUGGAAGUUUCUUGGAUAGCAGCUGUUCCAUAGUUCAUGAUGGAUGAUUAGAAACAUUGGUCUGGCUGUCAACUAGGGCAGCAGCAGCAGCAGCAUCCCUGAGGUAAAUCAACUCCUGGCAAGAGGAAGGCCAUGGAGAAAAGGUUCCAGAUCCCUGAAAACUUUAGCUUUAUUGUGGACACCUAAAGACAGCCCACAGCUUGAAUCACGGAGCAUAAAACUUUCAGUGAAGACUAAGAAUUUCUGUUGAAAAAUUUUGCUCAAGAAUUAAAAUAAAA